rfam:Ovis aries breed Texel chromosome 2, whole genome shotgun sequence.
UCCCUGGUGGCUCAGACGGUAAAGCGUCUGCCUGCAAUGCAGGAGACCCAGGUUCGAUUCCUGGGUCGGGAA